AGUAGUGAAGUAAAAUUACAUUUAGCUUCGACCUAAAAAUAAGAGGAAGUAACCUCCUUACUU
rnacentral:tRNA from 1 species